AUUAAAUUUUCAACGAUUCACAAAGUAAGUCAAUCCUCUCUCUCUUUACCACACACAAAAUUUAAGAGCAGAGCUCGGCGAUCGUAUGGCAGCUUAUGCCGCUCUUGCUUCCCUUUCUCAAACUACACAUCUUACUAUCAAUAAACACAAAUCUCACUUUUCCAUCGUUGCGGAAGAAAAAAUUAGAUCCAUCCAUGAGUAUGUCAUUUUCUUGCUAUCUUUCCUCCAAGAUUUUCCACAGAAAUCCAAGCGUUGGGAAGUCAAGAUGAGGGAUGUAGCUCAUGAAGCUGAAGAUAUUAUCAAACAAUACAUCUCCCAGCUGUCAUAUAAUAGAUGGAUUAGGCCGUCAAACGUGAAAUUUGAAGACCAGCUCAGUAAUGUAUCUCAAAAGUUAUGUUUGAUGGCUGGAGAUUUGAUAGACGACGGACCUGCUCACUCACGUCUUGCUGUCUCAUCAUCAUCAAGAGUUGCAUCUACUGGAAACAGUGCUGUGGUUGGUUUAGACGAAGAUUUGAUGGCAAUUAAGGAUCGGCUUUGUGGGUACCCAUCCAAACUGCAAGUCAUCCCCAUAGUGGGUAUGGGUGGGAUAGGUAAAACCACUCUUGCUAGAAAUGUUUAUGAUGAUCUAUUAACUGUGGAACAUUUUCACAUUCGUGUUUGGCUCACAGUAUCACAAGAUUACAAUGCACAGAAAGUUCUUUUAGAUGUUCUACACUCAAUAAACUUGUUUGAACAAAGAAUGUGUUUGGGUGUUGAAGAUUCAAUGGUGUUGAGGGAAGAGCAAAUGCAUAGAGAGGAGACUGAUGAUUCUACAAUUGCGGAGACAGUGUAUAAAAAAUUGAAGGGUAGGAGAUAUCUCAUUGUCAUGGAUGAUGUCUGGAGCACAAAGGUUUGGGAUGAUGUGAGGAACAUAUUCCCGAAUGAUGGUAAUGGAAGUCGAAUCUUGUUAACCACAAGGCUAGGGGAUAUAGCCACUUAUCCCUACUCUAAUAGUCCUCCUCAUGUGAUGAGGUUCAUGGAUGAUUCUCAAAGUUGGGAUUUGCUUAAGGGAAAGGUAUUUGCUAACAACAAUUGCCCACCUCAAUUGGAACAUGUGGGGAAAGAGAUCGCAAGAAGCUGUGCAGGGCUACCCCUUGCUGUUGUCCUGGUUGCUGGAUUCCUGUCUGCAGUCAAUAAGACUCAUUCUUCUUGGGAGGAAAUUUCCAAAAAUGUAAAUCCAAGUGUUGGUGAAGAGCUAGAGAGGAUAUUAUCUUUGAGUUACACGCACUUGCCUCAUCAUUUGAGGCCGUGUUUUCUAUUUAUUGGAGUGUUUCCAGAAGAUGAAAUUAUUCGUGCUUCAAGACUUAUUAAAUUAUGGGUAGCUGAGGGCUUCUUGAAGCAUCAAAAUGGAUGCAGUAAAAGCUUGGAAGAGGAGGCAGAGGAGUAUUUGGAGGAUCUAGUCAAGAGGAAUCUUGUAACUGUGACAAGUAGGAAGAGUGAUGGUAAAAUCAAGUGUUGCAGCCUCCAUGAUAUGGUACGAGACUUGUGCAUAAGGAAAGCCCUUGAUGAGAGGUUUCUUCGUGUUGUGGUGGAUAGUCAUCUUGUUCGACAAGGCAUGAUAAAUGAGCGACGCAUCAGUUUCAAGCUUUCUGAUAUAGGUAACAUUUGGUGUCCAACCAUCCAUACCAUGCUAUGCUUCCGACUCCGGAGUUUCCCUAGUUCACCAGAGUUUGUACGACGUUUUAGGUUGCUUAGGAUAUUGGAUGCCAUGGGUGGCAACUCUAAAGAGUUCCCUUCCCAAGUCUUUGAGCUGUUUCAUUUAAGAUAUCUUGCUUUAAAGUGUUCUUCCAGUAUUCCAUCAGUCAUAUCUAAUCUGAUGAAUCUUCAAACCUUAAUCAUUCUUCCAGCCUUUCCCAUGUUUAAGACCUCUUAUAAGUGGAAAGGACAUUGGAGAAUUGGCGAAGAUGUAUCCUAUUUGUCUUUGCCAUUGGAAAUUUGGAGGAUGCCUCAGUUAAGGCAUAUUGUCCUCUAUGAUCUUUAUAUGCUACCUCAUCCCCCAGAUGGAUCAAACCUUCCAUUAGUAAAUCUUCAAAGUCUUUCCUACAUAAUUGAUCUUGUAUGGACUGAACAGAUCUUGGAAAUGAUUCCAAAUGUCAAAAAAUUGGGACUAGUGUAUCGAAGCAAUAAAGGGUAUCACUUCCAUCUUCUCAAGCAUCUGAAUCAACUUGAAAAGUUGGAACUUUUUGGGCGGGUGGAGCAUAACUUGAUUACUUUCCCUCGGACACUAAAAAAGUUGACCUUGGUGGGGGGUGAAUUUCCAUGGGGAGAUAUGUCGAUUAUUGGUUCAUUGCUACAAGUGCUUAAACUACUAGAUUAUACUUGCUAUGGUGACACAUGGGAAACAACUGAUGGAGAAUUUCCUCAGCUGAGGUUUUUGCUAAUUGAGGGUUCAGCUUUACAGCAUUGGAUAACUGAGAGCAGUCACUUCCCAAGACUCCAGUGCCUAGUGCUUCGUUGGUGUCGGAAUUUAAGGGAGAUUCCAGUAAGUAUAGGAGAAAUUCCGACACUUGAAUUGAUUGAAGUGGAGUAUUGUAACGAGUGUCUUGAGAAGUCAGUCAAGCAGAUAAAUGAGGAUCAACAGAGCUAUGGAAAUGAUACUCUUCGUGUUCGUGUCUCCCAUUAUUUUUUAUCCUUGGAUGAUUCUCUUGUAGAGUUAGCCAAGAAAAUAAAAGAGAGUUACGGAAAUUAUAAUCUACGAGUUCUUGCCGAUGAUGAGCAUCAGUUUGAUUAACAAAUACUAGCGACCAUCAAUUCAAGAGCUACAAUCUGCUGAAAGUAACGAGUCUCUUGUGAAGUCAGCCAUGCAGAUCAACGAGGAUCAAGAUCAACAGAGCUGUGGAAAUUAUGCUCUUCACGUUCUGUCUCCCAUUUUAAUGAGGUUAGAGUUCUAUACCAAACCUUGAAUAAUAUCAAGUCUUAUUUGACAAAAUAUACGAAUAAGACUAGCAUUUAAACCAUAUAUACAAAUAACUUAUCUAAAUGAUCCUCUUUGUCAAGCUGUAUUGUGUCUCCUCUACUUAUUAGAGACAUCAUAAACACAUAUAUUGGCAUGUAUCUUCAAUGCUGAAAUCAAAUAUGGAACACCAUUUUCAAAUAAGAAAAUCAAACUCAUCAGUAGUCACAAUUCCUUUCAUUGUGCGCACGUACGUCAUACCCCAGUAUAAUAAGUAAUGUUUUAUUAUCUUAUGUCACUAUAUUCGAGCUAUUAUUUUUAACCAAUAAUGGCAGGUGUCAAGGCAUAGAACAUUUGGAUUUUUGGUUGGAUUCGGAAGAAGCAUAGUCCCCAUACUUGAUUGCUUUGAAUACAUUUUCAUAUUGAUCUUGUGUGGCAUAAUAGAUCUUGUAUGGACUGAACAGAUCUUGGAAAUGAUUCCAAAUGUCAAAAAAUUGGGACUAGUGUAUCAAAUCAAUAAAAGGUAUCACCUCCAUCUUCUCAAGCAUCUGCAUCAUCUUGAAAAGUUGUAACUUUUUGGGCGUCAUGGUUUUUCUUGGAUGAAGCAUAACCUGAUUUCUUUACCUCGGACACUAAAAAAGCUGACCUUGGUGGGUGGUGAAUUUCAUUGGCAAUAUAUGAGUUUUAUCGGUUCAUUGCCUAACUCCAAGUGCUUAAACUUCUAGAUGAUGCUUGCCAUGGUCUAACAUGGGAAACGGCUAAUGGAGAAUUUCCUCAGCUAAGGUUUUUGCUAAUUCAGAGAUCAUGUUUACAGCAUUGGGAGACUGAGAGCAGUAACUUCCCAAGACUGAUCCAGCGCCUAGUGCUUCAUUGUUGUUUCAAUCUGAGCGAGCUUCCAGCAAGUAUAGGAGAAAUUCCGACACUUGAACUGAUUGAAGUGGAUCAUGCUAACUAUUUUCUUAUGAAGUCAGCCAAGCAGAUAAUUGAGGAUCAACAGCGCUAUGGAAAUAAUACUCUUCUUGCUCGUGUCUCCCAUCAUUAUGAUAAGAUGUCACGGGAAAAGGCAAAGCGCUAGGUUAGGCAUUAGAGGAGAAUUUCAAGGUUGGCCAAGAAGAUUUGGAUUUGGAUUUUGGAACACAACACUUGCUUCCAAUAUAACCUCUUUUACAGCCCCCAUACUUGAUUGCUUUGAAUACAUUUUCAUAUUGAUCUUGUGUGGCAAGAGAACAUAACAUGAUCACUGUAUAUUCAUUGUGGAAAGCAGGGUAUUCUUUCUAGACAUCAA